rnacentral:rRNA from 1 species
UUUCUUCCGUAGGUGAACCUGCGGAAGGAUCAUUAUCGAGU